UGCAUCCCUCAAGUCCAUGAUAUAAGUUCAUGAGAUGCUCUGUUCUCUUGUAUAUCUAUCUUCUGCAUCGAGUUCAUAAGAUGCUCUGUCCUGUAAGAUGUUCGGUCCUGUCUGCAUCAAGUUCAUAAGAUGCUCUUUUCUGUCUGCGUCAAGUUCAUAAAGUGAUUCCUUUCUGUCCUGGGCUUCAUCAUAAACAUUGACACAUUGAUGUCGAUGGUUCCUGUGCUGCUUGAAGGACAGCGAUAUGUCCUGACCUACAGGUUCAGCCAGGACCACUUGGAGCUUCUCUUCAACUUCAUCAGAGCAUCCGGUGGCUGGAAUAACAACCCUAAUGCCAGCCAGUUCAAGUACAUCUUUAGGAAGCUGAUGGCCCGGUGUGGGGUUGUUAAACCAUGCAGAGGCAAUGCGACGGCACAGGAUGACCCAGAGUCCCUACCAGCUGUCAUUGACACCUCUACAAGCCUGUCAGCUGUAGAUAUGUCCUCUGCAGCAGGAGGAGAAGAUCUUCCAUCCCCAUUUGCUGACAUUCCUGCCCUAGUACAUGACCACAGCUACCUUCCCAUCCACUUUGAUGUUCUUGUGGACAACGCUCUCGUGUAAAUUUCAGGAUUUGUUGUGCGACGGGCUCUGAAGAAGCUAUCGUGUGAUGUCUGCCGUGCCAGCCUAGUGACAGACGCUGCAUCUGCCUUCAAGGACCAGAGCUACCACCUGCUGACCUUAAAAAAAAAUUCGAGGUCUGGUGAUUCCAUCAGAAGGCACAGUGAGGGUCGUCAGGCCAGCAGAGUGGGUCAUUCGUCAGGCAUCAGCAAGUUCCAGACGAUCACAGCCCAUCAAACUGCUAGAGGUCGUGUACACCGUACGGAAGAGGAUAGGGUCAGAGGAUGUGUUUGUGCUCAGGGAGCACAUAGUAAACAUAAAUUGACCAUUUCAAAUAAACAUACUUGUACUUCAGUAAACAUAAACCAUCUUAAUUAACCUUAACAGUACUCCAGUACAGUAUCCUUCAUUCAGAAUGUAAAGUGCAAUUUGACUUAGGUCAGCUAUCUAUUCUUGGAUUUUGAGGUUCUUCUGUAAAAAGAUAAGCCUGUCAACAUUCUCUGCAGCAAGGCGAGAGCGUUUUGCACUUACAAUGUCCCCGGCAGUGGAGCAAAUUCUCUCACUCGCAACGGAGG